GACGAACGCUGGCGGCGUGCUUAACACAUGCAAGUCGAACGGAAAGGCCCUGCUUUUGUGGGGUGCUCGAGUGGCGAACGGGUGAGUAACACGUGAGUAACCUGCCCUUGACUUUGGGAUAACUUCAGGAGACUGGGGCUAAUACCGGAUAGGAGCUCCUGCUGCAUGGUGGGGGUUGGAACGUUUCGGCGGUUGGGGAUGGACUCGCGGCUUAUCAGCUUGUUGGUGGGGUAGUGGCUUACCAAGGCUUUGACGGGUAGCCGGCCUGAGAGGGUGACCGGCCACAUUGGGACUGAGAUACGGCCCAGACUCCUACGGGAGGCAGCAGUGGGGAAUAUUGCACAAUGGGCGGAAGCCUGAGGCAGCAACGCCGCGUGCGGGAUGACGGCCUUCGGGUUGUAAACCGCUUUCGCCUGUGACGAAGCGUGAGUGACGGUAAUGGGUAAAGAAGCACCGGCUAACUACGUG
rnacentral:rRNA from 1 species